GACGAACGCUGGCGGCGUGCUUAACACAUGCAAGUCGAACGGUAAGGCCCUUCGGGGUACACGAGUGGCGAACGGGUGAGUAACACGUGGGUGAUCUGCCCUGCACUUCGGGAUAAGCCUGGGAAACUGGGUCUAAUACCGGAUAGGACUCCGGACUGCAUGGUCUGGGGUGGAAAGCUUUUGCGGUGUGGGAUGGGCCCGCGGCCUUUCAGCUUGUUGGUGGGGUGAUGGCCUACCAAGGCGACGACGGGUAGCCGGCCUGAGAGGGUGACCGGCCACACGGGGGCUGAGAUACUGCCCAGACUCCUACGGGAGGCAGCAGUGGGGAAUAUUGCACAAUGGGCGCAAGCCUGAUGCAGCGACGCCGCGUGAGGGAUGACGGCCUUCGGGUUGUAAACCUCUUUCAGCAUCGACGAAGCGAAAGUGACGGUAGGUGCAGAAGAAGGACCGGCCAACUACGUGCCAGCCGCCGCGGUAA
rnacentral:rRNA from 1 species